GAGUUUGAUUCUGGCUCAGGACAAACGCUGGCGGCGUGCUUAACACAUGCAAGUCGAACGGUGAAACGGAACGGAAAUUUUCGGAUGGAAGUUCUGUGGAUUAGUGGCGGACGGGUGUGUAAUGCAUGAAGAACCUGCCUUUCACAUAGGAAUAGCCUCGGGAAACCGGGAUUAAUACCAAAUGACACUCCGAGAUCGCAUGUUUUUGGGGUUAAAGAUUUUAUCGGUGAAAGAUGGCUUCAUGUCCCAUUAGCUGGUUGGUGAGGUAACGGCUCACCAAGGCGACGAUGGGUAGCCGGCCUGAGAGGGUGAACGGCCACAUUGGAACUGAGACACGGUCCAAACUCCUACGGGAGGCAGCAGUGGGGAAUAUUGCACAAUGGAGGAAACUCUGAUGCAGCGACGCCGCGUGAGCGAUGAAGGUCUUCGGAUCGUAAAGCUCUGUCCUAAGGGACGAUAAU
rnacentral:rRNA from 1 species